UAAACAGAAGCCAUUUUUGGCAUCUAACUGUUAAUUAGAAGCUAGUCUCACGACCUGUUUAG
rnacentral:tRNA from 2 species